GUCCCCCUCUCUUUCUGCCCCUCCCCCACUCUUGCUCUCUCAAAAAUAAACAUACAUUUAAAAAUAAUAAAUGAAGUAUACAUUACAGUGAUCAGAAUAGAAUUCCUUCCCAGCUGGCUGUAUACGUAGGGACCCAGCCAGAGGGAUGACGGCCACAAGGUUGCUGGCUGCCCAUCCUUCUCCCGCACACCCCACAAAACGGACUCUUUCCUUCCUGCCCCCAACUUCCAAAGGAUGGGCACCUGAAACUUAAUGUUAUCAGGAGAUGUGCAUCACGCAUCAUACACGUGAGGAUACAAUUUCAAAACCCAUGAGUCCAUCAUGCAACUGAGCAGAAACUUCUUUAAAAGUCGACAUAGGGCAGCCUUCGUGAAAGUACGAGUGCAUGCACGCUUUCCUUGAGGUCCUUAAAGUAAGUGUGAAAAUUCGUGCCUGACACCGUUACAGCAACGGGAGGCCCAGCAGACAAGCUGGGAAGGCGCGCGACGUUCCCAAUUACUCCUAGAUCAUCUAGGAACGACACACACAAAAGCGCUUUCAGCCGCCACCAAAAUGGGCCAGACGGGUUUGAUGACGGCCCUGGGCAGCCCAGGGGGCAGCACAGCUGACCAGAGAAGAACCCAGAAAUAGUAGCCAUCAGGAAGGCGCUGCGGCUUUUCAGCUCGGAUUCCUGAGCAGCAACCGAUAUGACAGGCGCAGAAAAGAAAAUAUGUUAAUGACUGUAUGAAAUCUGAAAAUAAAUGAAUCACAGGAAUGUCAUUUCUUAGCCUGCGAAAAGAAAAGGCUGCUAAGAACCCAGCUGUGUCCCCUGGCACAGCGGCCCACAGUAAACCCCACUGUCCCCCCCAGUGCCAUCAGGGUGCCCCGCAGAACCGGUGACAGGGGUUCCGUUCUCUCAUUAACUCACGUGCUCCUUUCUUAGCUGCAGUUAUUUGAGACUUGUCAAGUCGUUAUAAAAACAAUCUUUUUGUUCCCCUCAAACACAGGACUCAUACAUUCGGUUCAAUUAACUGAACAAAUCUACUAAACAUCUACUCUGGGUAAAACACCAUGCACAACUCUGCAGAUGGACGGCUGGGCUUCAGCCCGGCCUUCAAGAUGGUGCACACACAUAAACACACACACACACACACACACACACACACACACACACACACCACCUCACGUACACUUACCAGACACACAUACCACAUAUACAUACAUACAUACGUAACCAAAUGCUAAUAGGAAAACGAAUUCUGUGACAUCUGUUGGUAAGUAUCAUGUUUUUUUUCUAAAUAAACAACAGCGAGAUUCAGUGGAAACUUUGCCCAGCCUGCUUAACUAAAUAUCUGCGCGGGAGAAAAAAGGAAAUUUCUCCAAGGUGUUGAAUGGCUCUGGAGUUUCGUGCAGCAGAUUCCUGGCCACUCAAAGUGGGGUCCCCAGACCCCUGCAUCGGCAUCAUCUGGGAGCUCUUAGAGAUGCAGACUCUCAGGUGUUGCCCCGGACUCGUGGAUCAGGAUCCACAUCUUUACAGAACCCUCGGGUGUUCUCAUGGACCUUCAGGGAGGAGAAGCCGUGGGAUAAAACCUGGCGUGCAACCGUGACCAAGAACAGUCACUUAUUGUGGUUCACUUUUUCAAACUAUUGACGAAAAUCAAUUUCUACAACAAAUGAGGCUAGCCCACCAAUGGCUGGGAAUCCUUUGGCUAAUAUAAGGGAUAUAAUAAAACCAAUCAGUGAAACGGUCAGUUUUUGUGCAUCAGUAAACCUCUCAAGUUUACAGAGCCUACUUUCCCAGGUCAUUACAAAGAAAAUAAUGUCACAAAAGAGUCUAGGGGCUGCACCUUACCAAUGAGCUGACUCCCUCUAAUCUAGUGUCCUGUAACCAUAGCAACUCAAAUUUGCAGACUGAGCACACACACGCACGAAAAAGCAAGCAAACUAACACAAAGGAGUUUUUCCCCUUCUGGUCAUGGUUUGUGGUAGCCACAGGUGAGCAAGGUCAAGAAAGGCAAGGAUUUGCAUCAUCACAGAAAAAAGAAACAUACGCAGUAACUGUGGAAACUGGACACAAACUUCAGAAAUGACCUGCAAUUGGCAAAGGCGAAACCACUCUGUUUCAGUCACAGAAACAUUAACUAUGGGCAAAUUCCCCAAAAUAGCUGAAUUUGUGGAAGACGGUAACACAAAUGUUUUACCCAAGCACCAUCACACGUUGUGUGGUUUGCAGUGGAAUGGUUAAAUUACAUGUUGUAACAACUGGGUUAUUUACAUGUGCUCAGUCUAGAUUUUCACGUACUCUGAGGAUAUACUGGCCCUGACUUGAGUCAGCUAAUUCCUUAGGUGAAAGUCCCCAUCAAUUCCUGAAGGUCAGCAGGAUGGCAUCUCACCAAGUGUCAAGACUGAAGAAAUUCAGGUUAACUUCUCAAAUAUCCAACUGAUACCUAAGGAAGAUGGAAGGAUUGCAAUGAUCCUGCCCAUUUUAUGUUUCCUAAGCCAGUCCUCUGUAGAUUUCCUACUUAAAGAUCAAUAUACAUUUCCAUGGUAUUUACACAGAGAAAACAAAGCGGGAAAGCUUAAACCACUAACGACGUCCACCCAGGUCCACAGCCAUAGAUGGCCUCCUCCCUUGGAUAUUUCCAUAGAGUUUCCUGUUUUUCCGUUGGUCUCGGUCUCUCUCGCUUUCAGAUCAGAUAUUGCCUACUCUUUUUUCAGAACAGUUUACACACUGCCUGAAGUUUAAUGGAUGCCCAAAAGGAGAAAAUGACCACUCUGCUAAAAAGAGAGAGAGAGAGAGAGAGAGAGAGAGAGAGAGAGAGAGAUACUGAAUCACAGCAGGAGG